GAUGAACGCUGGCGGCGUGCCUAACACAUGCAAGUCGAACGAAGCGCCUUUUAAGAUUCUUCGGAUGAUUGAUCGGUGACUGAGUGGCGGACGGGUGAGUAACGCGUGGGUAACCUGCCCUGUACAGGGGGAUAACAGUUGGAAACAGCUGCUAAUACCGCAUAAGCGCACGAGAGGACAUCCUCUUGUGUGAAAAACUCCGGUGGUACAGGAUGGGCCCGCGUCUGAUUAGCUGGUUGGCAGGGUAACGGCCUACCAAGGCGACGAUCAGUAGCCGGUCUGAGAGGAUGAACGGCCACAUUGGAACUGAGACACGGUCCAAACUCCUACGGGAGGCAGCAGUGGGGAAUAUUGCACAAUGGGGGAAACCUUGAUGCAGCAACGCCGCGUGAGUGAAGAAGUAUUUCGGUAUGUAAAGCUCUAUCAGCAGGGAAGAUAAUGACGGUACCUGACUAAGAAGCUCCGGCUAAAUACGUGCCAGCCGCCGCAGUAA
rnacentral:rRNA from 1 species